GGGCGAGUGGCGGAAUCGGCAUACGCGUCGGAUUUAAAAUCCGAGUCAUUUGUGGGUUCGAGUCCCACCUCGCCCA
rnacentral:tRNA from 1 species